AUGUAAAAAUUCUAGAUUUUAUAGCUAAAAGCAAUGUGAAAAAAAAUUGUAUCGAAUUUUCAUAUUUAGAGUAAUACUUUUUCCAAAUUUUUUUGAGAUUAGCCUAUUUAAAGUAUUUAUUUUAUCCAAUGGCAGUUGGUUUUGUUAAGUACAUUAUACUUAGUCGGUGUCCUAUUCUUAAAAUGGAUACACCUCUCCGUGAGAUAAUCACGAUUACCGCAUUAAAAUCAAAGUUAGGUCAAGUUCGCAUUAUCAAUAUUGUUGUGGAGAUUACUCAGUGCUGCUGUAAUUCUCACCUUUAACCAUUUCCUUGUUACGCACCUUUCGGGUUAUAAAGGAAUGACAUCCGCGAGUUCUAAAUUUUAAAAGCUCGGGGCACGAGAAAAAUGAGGUUGAAGUAUUUUAGAGGAAGAAGAACGUUCGUGGUUUAUAAGUCGUCAACGUUAACCUACAAUUCUUAACCAACACCUUAAAGGCUUAAACGUGAACCUAAAUUGUCUAGACCUGAUAUAAAAGAAGUAACAAUGGCCGAGAAUUUUUUCCUGCAAUCAAAUUUUAAAAUAAACUUUGACAGUUCUUUCGGUCUAGGUUAUUUGUUUACAUAUUUAGCACGUAGCAGAGGAUAGUGCAACGUUUUAAAAGGUUACGAGAUGAUAUA